rnacentral:rRNA from 1 species
UACGGGGGGGGCAAGCGUUGUUCGGAAUUACUGGGCGUAAAGGGCUCGUAGGCGGCCAACUAAGUCAGACGUGAAAUCCCCAGGCUCAACCUGGGAACUGCGUCUGAUACUGGAUGGCUUGAAUUCGGGAGAGGGAUGCAGAAUUCCAGGUGUAGCGGUGAAAUGCGUAGAUAUCUGGAGGAAUACCGGUGGCGAAGGCGGCAUCCUGGACCGACAUUGACGCUAAUGAGCGAAAGCUAGGGGAGCAAACGGG